AUAUAUUAUAAUGUAGUCUUUUUAUUCUUAUUUUUAAUUCUUUACGUUUUUCAGAGAUAAUUUGUUUUAAUUCUUUGUAUUUUUGUACUUUAUUCAUUUUAAUUAUAUUUAUAAUAUCUUGGCGGAUAUCUAAAUCUAAUUUUAUCAUAAUUAGGUGGUAUGUGUUUCAUUCUUCUGGAUUUUAAAUGGAUUAUUAAUUUUGAUUCAAUACUAGAUAUUAAUGUAAUUAAGUAGGCUAAUCUUUGUGGGUUUUCUUUUGUUUUAUUUAGACUUAUAUAUUCUGAAUAAUUACUAAUUAAAGAUUCUUUAAUUUUUCUAAAAGCUUCUCUAUUUUUAAAUGGUCUUCGCAUAAUUAAUUUAAUAAUUUAUAGGUAAAUUCUAAUAUUUCUAACAUAAAUUCUAAUAACUCUAACAUAUAUCUUACUUAUUUUAUGAAUAUAGAAAUAUUAGAAGAAGAUUUUGAAGUAGAUAAAGCUAUAAUAAAAGCAGAAGCCUACAUUACAUGGAGAAAAUCCACAAAUAAAUACCAUUACAUAUUUUAUAAUAGACCUUAAGGAAAUGAAAGAGCAUUUUAUAUAUAUAUAUAUAUAUAUUCUUUAUUUCUCAACAAACAUUGAACAAGACAACCCACCAGUUCUUACCUCUUUGUCACUCUCUUUUUAUUCGAUAGUUCUUAUUUCUUAGUACUAUAUUUUUAAUAUUGCAGCCUUCAAGGACAGAAGACAACCCUGUAAUUUGUACCAGAAGGACAUGUAAACAGACUAGUUGGAUCAUCCUGUGGAUAACUAUAAGCAUCUGGGCACCUUUGCUUGAAAAACUUCGACAAAUCAGUAGGUCCACAUGAUCCAGGUCCAUUUGUACAACAAUAUUCAUUGGUCUUGAAAACCGUGCACGGGUUGUUACAUCCACCCUGUGUCUGUAAUUGGCUUGGACAUUGCUCGUUAAUAGGUGCGUUGCAUAUGAGAUUACGACAUGCACCAUUGGUUGGACUGAAUUCCAUAGGAACGUUGAAACCAUCGACUAAAGAAAUAUCUACAUAGUCCAAGUUAUUGGGCUGGUUAAGUGCAAAUUCAGCUAAAGUGUUGGGUGGACUUCCAUAGCCUUGACAUUCUAGUAGCCCAUUACAGUCUCCAGUCUCGCAUCUGCCUCGGCCACUACCAUCAAAGUUACAAUUGGUUCGGCCCCAAAUGCGAGCCUGAACUGUUCCUGGAUUCACAUUAAGGUUCCAAGAAUCGCCCGAGUUGAGCUGCUUGCCUCCACCAGGUGAGGCAGCGGCCCAGACUGUGUAGGUGCACCGAUUGAUAAUGUCAAAAGUGGCAGCAUGAGUAACUGACAAGAAGUAUUGGCCAAAGUAAAGGAAGACCAAAAAGGGGAAGAAUUUGAGGAAGCUCAUUUUUUUUUUUUUGUUUGAAGUUAAACUUGAAAAUGUGUUACGUCUAUGGGGUUUAAAUAGCUGAUCUAGUGGCCUAGUGUGAUGAGCUUUCAUAGGUUCCUAAGUUCUAACAAGCUCUGAAAUUUCAGAGAUCUUGAUUUUCUUGUGGAAAUUUGUGUUAUAGUGAAAAUUUUAGUGUUGAUCCUUGUGUUAUUUAGAUAUGCUUAUUGAACCUUCUGUUAUUUGAAAUGUGCAAUAUUGAUUCUCUUUCUUGUGAAUCUUCACAAAUUCAACAGAUUAUUGAUUAUUAAACUAUUUAAUUAACCAUGUUUUAUGCCAACUUUAUAUUGUUGCUCCGUAAUUAAAGAUAUUAUUGGUGUAAUAAAUCUAUAACAUAUUUGCUACAUAGAUGGAUCGAAAAUACAAAUUCUAAUUAGUUCAAGGUUAAAUAUAAGGAUCAUAAUUUGAGUUUACCGAUAACUAAGGGAUUAAAUAUGUUAUUAGGAUUUGAGUUCACCAAUAAUAAGGGAUUAAAUAUGUGAUCAUCCCUAAUCUUGUCCUUGUUAUUGUGAUUGCAAUGUACCUCUCUUGUUUUUUUUUUUUUCUGUAUUCCCUCCAUUUCAAAAUAAUUGAAUUGUUGGAGUAUGACACAUUUCUUAAUAAAAAUUUUUUAGACAUAAAUUGUAGGUUAAUUUUCAUUAUUAUCCUUUUAAUUGUUCGUAAACUACUAUCCUAGAAAAUGAAAAGUACUUAAGACCCUCAUUAGAUGAAAGGGUAAAAUUGAAAGAAAUUUUCAACAUAUUUUUUAAAGAAUGAAUAAUUUUUUUAUUUUGAAUAUUAAAAAAUAACUUAACAAUUCAUUUAUUUUGAAAUUGCAAGAGUAUUGUAUAAGCUUGCGUUGCUAACUUUUGCUCGUGCUUCUCUUGAAAACUCUUGCUUCUAGACCUCUUUAGUUAAACAUAUAUUAUGUUAAUUUUUAUUGUUACUCCAUUAAAGUAAUAUAAGUCUAAUGUUAAUCUAAACAUAAUCAUUACUACGUAAAGGGACCAAACAUGCAAUUUCUAAUUAAUUCAAGAUUAAAUUAAUAUUACAACGAUCAAAAUUAGAGUUUACUAAUAACUAUGAAAUAAAAAAUUAUUUGUUUUUAUAGUUUUAUUUUUGGUAUUGUGACUGGAAAUUCUAUCUCUCAUCUUUCAUUUCGUGCCAAAUACGCAAUUUGUUUACGUGGCUAAUUUUUGCUCGACUUCUCAUUAAUUGACAUAUAGUCAAGCCGUCAUUAAUUGCAUAAUUAGGCAUGCUAAUUUCAUUGACUUGGAAGUCUAUACUGAAACCUACUAGACAUAGAUAUAGUAAAUGAUACAUUGUUAUAAAACAAUAAAUAAUAACGAACAAGAAUAAAUAGAGAGAAGAGGAGAGACUUCUUUAUUUCGGUUAGAGAAUAUAAGAUUGAGAAUACAAUGAGCAAAACCCUGCUUUUAUAGGGGAAAAUAUUCCUAGUUUCUGACUAAAAGACAGAUAGUUCAAAUCUUGAUAGAUAUCAACUAAAUCUUGAUAGAUAUCUUGAUAGACAUUCACUCUAAUAUAAAUACAUUUAUAACACUCCCCCUUGAAUGUGUAGUUGAUAGAUAAUGUGCUUUGUUAAAACCUUACUAGAAAAAAUCUAGUGGAAAAAAAUUCAGUGAAGGAAAAAGAGUACACAUCUCUAAUAAUACGCAUUUCAGAUGCCUCAUUAAAAACCUUACAAGGAAAACCCAGUGGGACAAAAUCUCAUAAGGAAAAAAAGAGUACAAAGCGUAUUAACUCCCCCUAUUGAGAACAUCCUUGAACCUUUGCAUCCCGAUCUUGUGCACCAUCUUCUUGAAAGUUGUAAUUGGAAGAGACUUGGUGAAUAAGUCAGUCAUAUUGUCACUUGAAUGAAUCUGAUGCUCGUUAAUAUCACAAUUCUUUUGGAGCUCUUGUAUAUAGAAAAGCUUUGAUGAAGUGUGCUUCUUUCUAUUUCCUUUUAUGAAUCAUCCCUUAAGUUGUGCUAUGCAUGCUAUAUUAUUUUUGUAUAAUAUUAUGGAUAUAUUGUAACAUUUCACAUCACAUUUUUUCGAAUGAGAUGUAUCAUGGAUCUCAACCAUACAUAUUCUCGACUUGCUUUAUGAAUAGCUAUUAUCUUGGCAUGAUUCGAUGAAGUGCUAGAUAGACUGCUUUGUAUAUCUCUAAGAUAUGGCAGUAUCCCCACAUAUGAAGACAUAACACAAUUGAGACCAAGCUUUAUGCGGUCAAUAAGUGCCCAACAUCAGCAUAGCCAACAAGAUCGGAACUGCAAGCUUUAGAAUAAAAUAAGCUUAUGUCUUUUAUCUCAUUUCGAUGUCUCCUAGUGGGAGUAGAAAUAUACCUUUCUAAAAAAUUGACUAAAAGGUUAUAUCAAGCCUUGUAGUAUUUGCAAAAUACAUUAAUACAUCAAUUGGACUAAGAUAUGGUACUUCAAGACCAAUUCAAUUCGGUAUGCUUAUCAUUUCAGCAAAUAAUCUUAUUACUUUUGAAAACUCUCCAAGAGUUUCAAUGAUUUUCAAACCAUCAAUUUAUUCCUUUUAAGGAUAAUAAAUAAGUUUCCUAGAAACUUUAUAUGCUUCAAGCAUUUUGAAUCCUUUAUGAUUUUUCAUAUAGAUUUUUGUCAAGUAACAAUAUUCAGUAUUUCAUGUGUGAUAUCUUCAAGUGUCUGGAAUGCAAAUCAAAUAAGUUUUACUCUUACCAAAACGCAUCCUUUUAUGCCACUUGAUAAUUUUUUUCUACGUCAGCAUGCUUAAAUAAACAUAGAAUUCAGAUCCUCGUAAUCUUUUGCAAUAUUGUCUAAUAUUAAAUCAAAGAUAUCAUUGAUGAUAUAUCAUUUUGUAUCAGUUCACAGUAUGACAUAACAUUUUGAGAUCUCAUCACGUCAUUAUUUUCAGGUACCUGAGCCUCUCAUAAGGUUUCAUGAAGUGUUAUGUCGUAGGCUCUUCAAGAGCACAUUGCCUUCUUACUGUGAUUAUUUGCUUCUUUUUAUUUUAUUUGAAACCGAUUGGUCUACCACGCUUCACACAUGCAUAGACUUUGUUCUUUAGAGACACAAAAUAGGAGCACUUGCAGCUUAAAUAUGAUAUGCUUUUGGUAUUUGACUUGAAUUAUUAUUUGAAUGACGAUCUGAUGAUAAUUGCUAACAUAUUUUAUAGCUGCUUAUAAUAUCCCCUUAUGUUAGAAAAACUAACAUGCAUCCUCCAUCUUCUUUGAGGAAUCCAUCUUUGUGCAUCAUGGUAUAUUCAUUAAUCAUAUACCACACAUCAAAACUAUUAGAUGAAAUAGUUGGUUUCUGCCAUUGAACCAAUUAAGGGGGAAGAAAUAAUCAUAAUUUAUUUGUCUAAUGCAUACAAGUUCUAUUGUAUGCAACAUAUCAUAUUUCAGACCAACACAUGAAGCUUUGUUCUCAUUAGCAAUCGUUUAACUAUUUAUUGAAGGCAUUCAAUGCCAAACCAUUUUCCUCAAGAUGAAUUGUCUUGAUUGCACAAUCUGAAAAUCAUGCUUUUAACUCAAUUUUAUUGCGUAAGAAAUUUUAUGAAUGUCAAACUAUAGGUUAAUAAUAAUCGUACAAGUGAUCAUCUUAUAUCGAUGCAUCUUAAUAGAUCAUAUGACAAGUGAACGGGCCCAUAUUCACCUUUUAUACUUUUCUGAUUUUAAGGAAUCCAAUCCCAAUAUUAGUUGGUCCAACCAACAUAUCAUGAAAAUAAGCAACAUAAAUAAUUUUGGAAGAAUCUUCUAGUUCUUCAUUACAUGUCCAAAUACUCAAUAUGCACAUCUUCGGAAUGUCAUAAUUGUUCAUGUCAACUUAUAAACUUUUAUUCUAGUAAACUCCAAGUUUAUCAUGACAUGUGUUUUUCACUUUAGUAAAUUUCAGAUUUACUAUUAUGUGAAUAAAUUUUUGAAUUUACUACUUCAGAAGUAGAUUUCACAAUAAAUCCUCUCAGUUAUUCUGCCUCAUUCGGAGGUUCAAUUAUUCUGCCUUAUUAGGAGGUGAGUUGUGAUACCAUCACAAUCAAGUGCACGUUUGUAUUACAACAAUCGAAAUCCUUAUUUCCCAGGAAUGAAAUAUAAUUGUUCCUUAAGUCUAUCAAAUUUAGAAAGCUUAUAGCCUCUUUCAUGAUAUUGCUACUUCAGGAGCAAAUCGAGACAUACAUAUAAUGUAGAGAAUUUUUCUCUAACAUAUCUUAUAGCCAUAAUAAGCGUGUGAAAAUAUUAUUAACACUGUUGAUGAUUAUUAUCAUAUUGUCCCUUCACAAUUAUAUUCGUACAUUCAAUCACUUGUCUUCUUUCAGACAUAAUACAUAUAGGUUUUUACAUCUUGCUGUAAAUAUUUUACUUCCUGGGGUUAACUCUAUUCCUGAUAUUUUCCAAUAUAAUACUAAUGAUUUAUCUAUAUUCCUAUCUGUUACUGCUACUGAAUAAUUUGCACUUAUUAUAAAUUUAAAUUUUUGGUAUAUUAGAUUUCCUUUUACGGCAGUUAUUAUGCUUUUUUCUAUAGGUUUUAUAAUUCUAUCGUCUGCUAAAUAUAAUUCUAUUGGUGUAUCUAUUCCUUCUCUAAAACAUGCUUUUAUUAAUAUCUCUGUACCUCCAAGGUGUACAUAUUUUAUUGGAUCUCCUUUACUUUUUAUAUCAUUUAUUUCUUUAUUAAUUAUUCUUUUUGUUACUAGUGGUAUACUAGCUUUUCCUUUUGCAUAUCUGCAAUCUAUUACAUGUUCUUUUUGGCAUACUACAUAAUAUUCAUCUUUUUUCCUAGUAAAAAUAUUUUUUAUUGUUGGUAUUUUAAAUAUUUUGUCUACACUUAAAUCUAAUUCUUUUCCUUUUAUUUCAUCAAAUAUAUUACUGUCAAAUAUUAUUUUUUGUUCCGUUCCUUCAUCAUUUAAAUAUUCUUCCUUUGUUAUUAUUUUUAUAUCUUCUUCAGUCAUUUGAUUCAUCUAUUUCGCUAUCUAUUUCAUUAUCUGUUUCGUUUUCUGAAAUUUCAUAUAUACUAUCUUCACUUUCUAAUUCAUAAUCUAUAUAAUCUAUCUGCAUGUAUUCGGUAUUUUCUAUUUUUAUUUCUGAUAUUUGUUUAUUUUUUGGAUUUUUAGGUAAUUUACAAUCUCUAGCUAAAUGUCCUAACUUUCCACAAUUAUAACAAGUACAUUCUUUUAUAGAUUUCUUUUUUCUAUAUGGUCUUUUAUGUUUAUAAUUUUUUACAUAGUAUCUUUUUCUUGGUUUUUUAUAUUUAUAUUUUGAUUUUUUAUAUUUCUUAUAUUUCUUAUGUCUUUUUCUUUUCUUAUAAUAUCUUUCUUCGCAUCCAAAUUGGGGUGCUAUUUUAUUUUUGCAACAAGCUAAAUUUCUUAUUAAUGUUUUUUCCAUUUUUAAUUCUUCUCUAUAUUUUUCACAUAAGUUUCUAUACCAUUGUUGUAAAUAUUUUAUUCUUGCUCCUAACGUAUCUACUAUUUUUGCUUCUUCCCAACUUUUUAUUAUUUUCGAACUAAAUGGCUCGGGUAAUUUAUUAAAAUAUAAUUUUCUUAUUUCUUUACUUUCUUCUAUACUAUAUGCUCCUUUGUAAUAAUAUUCUUUAAAUGCGCAAGUAUAUUCAUCUAUAUAACACAUAUUACAUAUUGCUAAUUUUAACAUUAAAUUUCUAUUUGUAUCUUUUUCUUCAUUUUGUUCUUCUUCGAUUGUUGUCGUACUACCAAAUUCAUCUUUUAUAGCUGUUUCAUAUUUUUUUAAUAAUUCUAUAGGUGUUAGUUUAGUUGUUGUCGAUGAUGUUCCUUCUAUAGGUUUAUUAGUUCUUAAUACUUUUUUGCUAUUUUCGGUUAGAUUUGCAAACCAUAGUUUUACUGAUCCUAUUAGUGUUUUUUCUAUAUAUUCCGGUGCAUCUGUUAUAUUUAUAUUAUUAUCUAAUAAUUGUUUUGUCAUAUAUCCUAUCCAUAAUUGUAUUGUUUUUUCUGUAUCUAUUACACAGUCUAGAUCUAAAAAGUUAUAAUUUUUAUUCACUAUUUGUUUUGGUAUCCAUUUAUCAUAUUCAUUAUAUUUUUUAAACUUAUUCUUAUGGUAUAUAGGUUUUCUUAUUUCUGUUGUUUUAGGUAUUAUAUUUUCAUUUUCUUUUUUAUCAAGAGUAUUUAUUUCUGUGUGGGUAUUUUCUAAGUUUUCCUCAUUAAUUUUUUGUUCUUCAUUGAUUUCUAAAUUUUUUGUAUUUGUUAAUAUUUCUGUGUAUGUUUCACUAUCUUCGGACUCAUAAUUAUCUGUCUCUUCAAUAUCUAUAUUAUUUAUUUCUAAUUCUUCGUUUUUUAUUUCUAAUUUUUCCUUAAAUUGAUUUAUCUCAUUUAGUAAUUUCUGUUCUCUAUCUUUUUCUUCUUUUUCUUUUUGUCUUUGUUCAUACAGUUCUUUUAACAUUUGUAAUUCUUUUUCUAAUUCAGCAAUUCUACUAUUUUUGGUUUCUUCUAUUUUUCGUAUUUCUUCCGUAGUUUGUUGUUUUAUUUUUUCUAUUUCUUUUUUCCUAUCUAUCUCUUCAUUUUCUUUUUCUAUUCUUACCAUUGCUGUUAAUUUAUCUUCUAAUUUUAAUUCUUCUUUUUCUAACAUUAGAUAUAAAUGUUCACCUAUUUUCUUAUAUCUUCGUCCUAGAUUAGAAAAUACUAUUUUUAUUUUUGAUCCUUCGUAGUUUUCAUAUAUUUUUUCAUCUAUUAUAAAUUCUUCUUUAUUCAUUUUAUUGUGAAUAGGUCAUGUUGAUAUACAUAUUCUAAACUAUCUAUUUGUGAUUCUAAUUUUGAUAUUUCAUCUUUUUGUGUAUCUAUUGAAUUUUUACUAACUCCGGCAAAUAUAUUAUAAUGUAGUCUUUUUAUUCUUAUUUUUAAUUCUUUGCGUUUUUCAGAGAUAAUUUGUUUUAAUUCUUUGUAUUGUUGUACCUUAUUCAUUUUAAAUUAUAUUUAUAAUAUCUUGGUGGAUAUCUAAAUCUAAUUUUAUCAUAAUUAGGUGGUAUGUGUUUCAUUCUUCUGGAUUUUAAAUGUGUUAUUAAUUUUGAUUCAAUACUAGAUAUUAAUGUAAUUAAGUAGGCUAAUUUUUGUGGGUUUU
rnacentral:lncRNA from 1 species